rnacentral:rRNA from 1 species
UACGGAGGGUGCAAGCGUUGUUCGGAAUUACUGGGCGUAAAGAGCGUGUAGGCGGCUGACUAAGUCCGGUGUGAAAGCCCGGGGCUUAACCCCGGAAGUGCGCUGGAUACUGGCCGACUAGAGUAUGGGAGAGGGAAGUGGAAUUCCUGGUGUAGCGGUGAAAUGCGUAGAUAUCAGGAGGAACACCGGCGGCGAAGGCGGCUUCCUGGACCAAUACUGACGCUGAGACGAGAAAGCGUGGGGAGCAAACAGG